CCCGUGGUGCCGUCCAGCGGCUAAGUGCCGCCGGGACAACAGGUCUACCCCGUGGUGCCGUCCAGCGGCUAAGUGCCGCCGGGACAACAGGUCUACCCCAGGGCCGGACGCCCGGCCGAGGGGCGGAGAAGGAAGGCCCGCUCCGUCCCUCACCGGCCCGAGGAGACCCGGUGCACCCGGCACCCGCCAGCACGGACGGGAGGGCUCGGCCCGGGCCGGCAGGAGCAGCCGCGCGGGC